UUUCUCUUUACCAAAAUCAAAAGAAGGACCUCACUUCCCUGCUUGGAAGGUAUCCUUCUGCAGUUUGGGGGAUCUGAAGAAAAGCUGAGCAGAUCAGAAAUGAACUCAGCAGAAUUAACAUUAGAAAGAGAGAAACAAGGACACCAAGAAGCAAUUUCACCCAGGAAAGCAUUCUGUUAUGAAAUCCAAGCUCUCUUUACAUGAAGACUCAGCCUGCAGACAGCUCCCUACACAUGCACCCCACAGGGAAGGCUGCUUGUCACCAGCAACCAUCUCCAUCCACAUUCCCCCCGCCCUGCCCCCACGAGAAGCCUGCCUUCAGUUGUCCCAAUUACAGGGAAGCCUGCUGAGGAAACAGAACUGUCUGAAUGCAAAGGAAAUUUAGCUCUUAUGAAUAUGAACUCUCAACCAAGAAUCAC
rnacentral:lncRNA from 1 species